rnacentral:lncRNA from 1 species
AGUGUUGUCAAACUCGUAACUCGGAGGUGGAUCGGAGAGGGAAAAAAAACUCGUAACUCGGGGAUCGUAACUCGACUCGGAAGAGUUACUAUUCGAGUUACUAUACAUAAGAUAAUUAAAAAUACAUUCAUAAUUCAUGAAAUGGUUGCAAUACAUAACAUAAUUUAACAUAGAUUCAUAAUUCAUAAAACGGUUCAAAUACAUAACAUAAUUAAAAGAAAGUAGAUUCAAGAUAAUGUUUAAUACAAAUAAACUAUCCAACAAAAUCAUUCGCAUUCAUCAUAGGAUAAUCAUCUUCAUCCUCCAAAAAAUCUUCAUUUUCAUUAGCAUCAAUUGGAGGAACUUCCAAAUCAUUAUCAUCAUCAAUUGGAGGAACCUCAAUUGUUGCUCCUCUACUAGCUCCAACUUCAAGUAAUAUUUCUUCAUCUAAACCAUGUAAUGUUUCAUUUUCCUCCACAGUCCAUUCAUCAUCAGAAGAAAGAUCAUCAACCGUAUAUUCUUUUGUCUUUCUAACAUCUUUCUUCUUCGUCAAUCUUGAAUUAGUCAUCACAAACACCACAUCGUUCAUAGUCAUUUGGUGUAAACGAUUUCUUUUCUUAGUGUGAACCUAAAUAAUUAUAAAAGUAGUUAACACAUCAUAUGAUCAUCUAAAAAAUAAUUAUGAAAUCACAGCCAGAUGAACUAAAUUCUUACCCCUUCAAAAGCACUCCAAUUACGCUCACAGCCAGAUGAACUACAAGUCAAACUCAAUACUCUAAUUGCAAAUCUUUGUAGUUCUGGAUGUUCAUCACCAUAUGAUUCCCACCAUUGUGAUGGAGUUUUGGUCUUGAGUCCAAGUUGAGCUAAGGGAGUACCAUACAAUCCAGACUUGCUCUUGAAACUCUCAUAUUGAAAAUCAUUUUACUCAUCACAUCAAGGUCUCUCACCAACCUCUCCAAACAUUCAUACAUUCC